UUCCUUGCACCUUGAUGUGUUGUCUAUUUCAUACUUAGAUAUAGCUUACCAAAAGUACUUUGAUAAAUCUCAUAUUAUAUCGAAAAUUGUUUGUUCAACUUUCAUGUCUUUAUAAAGUUAAUUGUUAACAAUAUGUACUUAAAAUGAUUUUUUUUUCACAAACAUUUUAUUUCAUUUUCUUAUAUUCUUGUCUUUAAAAUAAUGUCCUUCUAUCCAAUGUGUCAUGCUAAUGGAUGACUUUAGUACUUGACAAUAUGUGACUAUAAUGCAUGACUAAUGCAUAUGCGAUUCACUGAUUGACAACUUGGACACAAGAAUCAAAUUCCAAAAUAACAUAAUUCAUAAGAAAAUUCAAAUUUCAAAAUGCCCCUUUAAAAUAUCAUCAAAUUCUUUUUACCUUUAUCAAACUGAUUUAUUAUGGUAUACUGAAACUAAAGCCCCAAUUACCAAAAAACAUUUUCAAAUUUGUAAAAUUUAAUACAUUCAAAACCUCCAUCACUAGUAAUUCACUUGUGACUUACAAAUAAAAGAAAUUAACAAAAAACAAUCAAGAAUUGUGUACUUACCGAGUCGCUUAACUGGUUAUUAUGAACCUAGCCUCCUAGUACAAAACCGUUAUUUUCAUAGUGGAUGUAAUUCUAGCAAAUACUAAAACAAACAUUAUCACAUUAUUUCAAAUCAUAUAAUACAACAACCAAUAUAUCUUAACAAUACUCAUAGCAACCCAGUCAUAGUAGAAAUAGUAGUAAUUGUAGUAGUAGUAGUAGUAGUAGAAAUAAUAAUAAUAAUAAUGAAAACAAUAAUAAUAUCAUGCAGUAAGUAAGUAUGAACUCACAAACUUCUCAUUAUCCUCAAGUUGUAUAGCUUUCAAACUCUUGUACAGCGAGUCGAAUGAGAUCUAAAUAAAUGGAAAUCAAAAUUAGUAAGUGUUUGUAUACAUCAAGAUCUUGAUGUUGUACUCCUUCCCUGCACCUUGAU
rnacentral:lncRNA from 1 species